rnacentral:rRNA from 1 species
AGUACGUGAAACUGCUUAGAGGUUAAGCCCGAUGAACCUGAAUAUCCGUUAUGGAAAAUUCAUCACUAAUACUAUAAUAUAUAUCAUAUUGUAGAAAUAGUGUGCAAUUUUUCCAUAUAAGGACAUUGUAAUCUGUUAAUGUAUUAAAUAUUUAUCAUAAGAUCUAUUACUUAAGUUUAUUCAAAUUAGUUAUUUUCGGAUUUCUAACAUAGAAUAAAUGUUAUAGAUUUGAUAAAUCAUUGACAGAUUUAAUUAUAUAUAGUGCUUAAAUUUUUCGAAAUUUUACAAUACUAAAUGAAUCUAUUGAUUUAUUUUAUAUUGUAUGCGCUUAUAUGAUUAACAAUGCGAUAGAUUCAGGAUACCUUCGGGACCCGUCUUGAAACACGGACCAAGGAGUCUAACAUAUGUGCAAGUCAUUGGGUAUUUUUAAUAAAACCCAAUGGCGUAAUUAACUUAACUGUUUUUUAUAUGGGAUUAGUUUAUAUUUUAUUAUGAAAUAUAAAUUCAAUCCCGGGGCGUUCUAUACAGUUAUGCAUAAUAAUAUUUAUAUUAUUUAUGCCUCUAACUAGAGC